rnacentral:rRNA from 1 species
AACUCUCAGCAACGGAUAUCUUGGCUCUUGCAACGAUGAAGAACGCAGCGAAAUGCGAUACGUAGUGUGAAUUGCAGAAUUCCGCGAAUCAUCGAGUUUUUGAACGCAAGUUGCGCCCGAGGCUCGUCCGAGGGCAUUCCUGCCAGAGCGUCA